rnacentral:tRNA from 1 species
CGCCGCGGUGGUCGAGCGGGUGUUCGAGCCGUUCUUCACGGCGGGCGCAGGCUCGGCCCCUGGCGCGGCGG